AUUUUUGCAGGCAAAAUGCCAGCAAGUAAUAAUUCAGUGGUAUCUGUGUGCCACAGCUUGCAACAGGUCGCCCUUCAGUGCCAGCAAAAUGUUCAGACAUAUUGGUACUUCCAUCAGGCGGUGGUGCCCUGCUUGCUAGGCUUAGCAGUGCAGGCUGCUUUGGAAGAAAAUUCUCAAACAACACCCAACAAAGUUCUGCUAACAGAAGAAGCUUUAUCAUCCAUGGUGUUAGUCAUCAGUGCAGCCUGCAUACACUUAAGCCCAGAGUUGGCUGCUCAGAGUGUGUCAAAAGUGGUACCUCUCUUCCUAGAUGGAGAACUUUCCUUCUUGACUGGAAACAACUAUCUCAGCUC